UUGAAUAAUGCCAUGUGUGACUUUUCCUUUACAAAUUAUGAAAACUAAACAACAUAUGUACCAGUACUGUGUUUAACAAAU